rnacentral:rRNA from 1 species
UUUGGAGGGCAAGUCUGGUGCCAGCACCCGCGGUAAUUCCAGCUCCAAUAGCGUAUAUUAAAGUUGUUGCACUUAAAAAGCUCUUAGUUGAAUUUCGGGAUCAAUAUUUCGGUCAUGCCGUUGGUAUGCACUGUUAUCAUUGAUUUCUCACCUUCUAAAGAACCGUAAUGCCCAUUAAUUUGGUGUACGGGAAUUA